rnacentral:rRNA from 1 species
UACGGAAGGCAGCAGUGGGGAAUAUUGCACAAUGGGCGCAAGCCUGAUGCAGCCAUGCCGCGUGUAUGAAGAAGACCUUCGGGUUGUAAAGUACUUUCAGUCGUGAGGAAGGUGUUAAGGUUAAUAACCUUAGCAAUUGACGUUAGCGACAGAAGAAGCACCGGCUAACUCCGUGCCAGCAGCCGCGGUAAUACGGAGGGUGCGAGCGUUAAUCGGAAUUACUGGGCGUAAAGGGCACGCAGGCGGUUAAUUAAGUUGGAUGUGAAAUCCCCGGGCUUAACCUGGGAAUGGCAUUCAAGACUGGUUAGCUAGAGUCUUGUAGAGGGGGUAGAAUUCCAUGUGUAGCGGUGAAAUGCGUAGAGAUGUGGAGGAAUACCGGUGGCGAAGGCGGCCCCUGGGACAAAGACUGACGCUCAUGUGCGAAAGCGUGGGGAGCAAACAGGAUUAGAUACC